rnacentral:rRNA from 1 species
UAGUCAAUGCUCGCAAGAGUGAACUAGCUAACUGAAAUCAAAGAGUUAAAUUUAACUCAUGAUGUCGUAAGGGAAAAUAAUGAUAAUACCUUACUAUUAGUGUCGUCCAAAUCUGGUGCCAGAAGACUCGGUAAGACCAGAGACGCAAACGUUAAUCAUCAUAAUCAGGCGUAAAGGGUUUGUAGGCAGCCUCCAUCCCCUCAAAUCCCCGUCCCCCUCCCGCACUCUACUCCGUCCCCGUCCCUCCCCGCUCGGCCCGUGUCCGCCCCGCCUUAAAUCCUUAAGGCGGUGCGGACCGGGUGCGACGGUGCGGGGCUGGGCGGGUCUGGGCCGGGCCAGGGGGAAAGAACGGAGUCUUUGAGGGAGCCGGAAAGCUAGAAUCAAAAAGAGGUUAUAGUGUAUAACGCCUAGAGGAGGGCUGAUAUCCAUAGAUUCUAGGCAGAAUACUCAGGGCGAAGGCCACUCUCCACUAAUGAUUGACGCUGAGAAACGAAGGUUAGGAUAGGAAAUAGGAUUAGAUACCCCGGUACUCCUUUCUGUAAACGAUGAAUGGUAGUCAUUAGUUUUUUAACUAGAGACGAAGUUAACACAAUAACCAUUCCGCCUUGUGAGUACUACUGCAAAGUAGAAAACAAAAAAAUUAGUCGGUCUCGAAGCAAACGGAGUGAAGCAUGUUAUUUAAU